UGCGUAGGCGGUUAGUUAAGUCUGUUGUGAAAUCCCCGGGCUCAACCUGGGAAUGGCAAUGGAUACUGGCUAGCUAGAGUGUGUCAGAGGAUGGUGGAAUUCCCGGUGUAGCGGUGAAAUGCGUAGAGAUCGGGAGGAACAUCAGUGGCGAAGGCGGGCCAUCUGGGACAACACUGACGCUGAAGCACGAAAGCGUGGGGAGCAAACA
rnacentral:rRNA from 1 species